rnacentral:lncRNA from 1 species
GUGAGCCGAGAUCACGCCACUGCACUCCAGCCUGGGCGACAGAGUGAGACUCUGUCUCAAAAAAAAAAAGUCACGAGAACUGUCUGGAAAUGUGAGCAAUUUCAAGCGAGAGAUUAGUUGUUUUACAAAGUUCAUUAAAAUAUGCAUCAACCAUUCUUCAUCUCUUUGAAUAAAGGUAGGACACUAUGUAAUUUUAUGUAGAUUUCUUCCAGCUGAUAUUAAAUUUUGAAUGCAGAACUAAAUGAAUUUGUUUGUGUUGUCAGCUUUGGAUACCUGAUGUUAUAAAACUGCAGUUCUAAUUGGAAAUGUGAUUCUGAUAUACUCCCUUUAGGAGUUUGACUGUUUUACUUACUUUAUGAAGCAAGAAAUAAUAAUAAAAUUUUAGCUCUCAUAAUCAAGAGCCAUUUGAAUACUCAUAAAUUAAAAAUAUUUAGAUGUCAAGACAGUAAAGCCUAUGACAUGAAAAGGACCAGAUAACUAGUUAAAUGAAUUUCCAUGGGUCAAGUUGCACAAGUAACAUAGUCUAGAAGUGUGGAUUAAUUUUCACUCCGAUAACGCGUUAUCUUGCUUAAAUGUGAUUAAAAAUCCCCACUGGGUUCUAUGUUAAUCUUUCCUCCAAAGAUUUGGAUCUUAUCAAGUUUGGGAGCUACUUUGGAAGUAGAGAGUGCUCUCCAAAAGAACUCUCAAGAGGCAGUAUCAGUUUUUACAAUCUACUCUGGGGUAAUGAGAGAGUGGUUGAGUUUACAUAGAUUAUCACUUAUGGCUGCCUCCCUGGCUUGACAUUGUACAGGGGGAGAGCUCAAAGCUCAGUGAGGCUCAGACGAGGUCAGACACAGAGAAAUUUGGAGACCAUUUUUAGUGAUUUGACUUAAGAUGCUUUAGGUUUUGUUUUGUUUGUAUUAUCUUCUUUUAAUGCCUCAAAAAUUUCCCUCUCUAUAACGAGCCUUUGCUCUAAAAAAUUCCCUAUGUAAUUUAUUUAGCAAACAUGCAUUGAGUGUCUGUCAUGUGCCAAUUACUAUGCUGGGGGCUGGGGAUGUAGCAGUGAAUGAGGACAAUGAAAUGCUUGCCCUUCUAGGACUGACAGUGGCGAAGAGGUUAGCAUUAACUAGACAAUACACAAGAGCAAUAAGGGCCCUGAAAAUAUCUUUCUUCCUUAAAUACUGUCUUUCACUCCAUUCUUCUCUUAUGGGACUUAAAGGAUAUGUUCAAGUUCUCCUGUUACUUUAUAUUUGAAUACAAUGAACAUUCAUUUAUUGAUUCAUUUACUCUCUUCUUUCAAUAAGUAUAAAUUGACUAAGUCAUCUUUCUAACAAUUGAAUAAUAGUAAGAUUCAUUAGUCCUGCCCUCAAGCAUCCUAUGGCCUAGGGUGGGAGAUAAUAUAUGUAUAUACAUCAUGAUGAUUUUGCCACUCCAUACAGUUAUGAAAAUACAGAUAAAAGGUUAUUUCCAAUUAACAGAGUCAGGAAAGCCUCCCUGGAUGAAGAAGCUGUAAACUGGGCCUUAUGAUUAGAGCGGUUAUAUGCAUAUGGCAAAAGGAGAGAAGCUAUUCCAGCUGGAAUUAUGAGACAAAGAAAAAAGAGAACGAGAGGGAGAAAAUGUUCUAUCUUACUUCAACAGGCUCCGUUUUAUUGCAGUGCCAAAAUUUUUGAUCCACUGCAACAAACCAGAGACGACUUAACCAGGAUGACAAGGGUAUUACAAACUAGAAACUAGAGGAGUUUCACCUGAAAAUUGGGAGAUUUUGAGGUAACUUGAACAUAAUCUUCAAUAGAAAGCUAAUUCACUCUCAAUAUACAAAUUUUUGAAUACUUAAUAAAACAUAUAUAUCCUUCUGAAUGGAAAAAAUACAAGGUGACAGGGAAAAAUACAUUUCUUCUCUUCCAAUGUCCUCCAGCCUCCCAGCUACCUUUCCCAGGGGCAAUCACAAUGACCUUUUUUUUUUUUCUAGAGGUUACCCACAUGUUUAUAAACUUGUAUGUAUAAACUAUUUCAGUUUUGGAGCUCUUUCCAUUUCAGUUUAUGAGGAGAACUUCGACUCUGACAUGGUGUAAGUCUGCAUUCCAUUUCAAGCUGACAUGGCAAUGCCAGACUGCAAAAUGUAUGGAAUGUGAAGGAGCAGUCCUGGGAAGCCACCUGGGGCCUGUGGGAUUUCCAGGUCAUCAGAAUAUCUCUUGCUUUCUCCCUGGGGUAGUCUGACCCAGGAUUUGAAAAGUAUUAACCUUUUAGCUAUUAAGAACACGUCUACACUUUUGAGUUUAAUCUAAACAUCUGAAAGAUGUUGGGUGGUCCCUGGUGAUUCAUUUCAAGUGCUUUGAGUUUAAAAAUGCAGUUGAAGAUGAGAAAGAGAGGAGAUGAGACAGUUUGCACAGUUAUUUUAUACUGAGAAAUUGUUUUACAAAACUGCUCAAUGCUUUUAUUAACCUCUAUAAUCCAACCCCACUAGAUUUUUCCAAUAUUUUCUCCCCUUACUACCUUAUCCAUACUUUAGAUUCAGUCUGGGCAAUUACUUUAAGGACCACAAUACCUACCAUGCACUUCAGUGACUAUGCUUUCACUUAUAUUGGUCCUCCUUCCUAAAAUGCCCUUCAAUCUCCUUCUUGAUUAAGGACUGCUAAGUCUGCAAGUGCUUACCAAAUUUGUCUUACUCCUGAAGGCAAAAUACCUUAGUAGCUAAGCAACUAGAUUCUAGUAUUUGACUAUAUGUGCUCAAUUCCUAAUCCUGCUUUUUUUUUUUUUGAGAUGGAAUCUUGCUCUGUUGCCCAGGCUGGAAUGCACUGGGGAGAUCUCAGCUCACUGCAACUUCUGCCUCCCAGGUUCAAGCGACUCUCCCUGCCUCACCCUCCCAAGUAGCUGGGGCACAGGUGCGCACCACCAAGUCCAGCUAAUUUUUGUAUUUUUAAUAGAGACGGGGUUUUGCCAUGUUGGUCAGGCUGGUCUUGAACUCCUGAUCAUAGGUGAUCCACCUCCUCAGCCUCUCAAAUGUGCAAGCCAGAGUGCCCGGCCUAAUCCUGCGUUUUAUUAACUUUUUAACUUUGAGCAAGUUUAUUGCUCCAAGCCUUAAUUUCCUUGUCUAUAAAAUAUUGAUGAUAAUGAUUAGAAUUUACAGCAUUAUUAUGAGAUCAAUUGAUAUGGAAUAUAUCUGGUCCAUGAUGAGUGUUUAAUAGAUGUUGAUGUGAUGGUGAUGACUUCUGUAAUUUGUCUAAACCACACAGUUUUCCUAAUUUGGACUUUUCUACAUCAAUAUGCCCUGAUUCAUAAUUUAAUAGUUAAUGAAAUACACUGUUUUAUUCUUUACUAAUUGUUUCCUAAGUUUUGGAUUGACUCUAAUAGAUUUUAAACUCUUUGAGGGCAGGAGGUAUGUAUUAUAAUUAUUUCUAGGCAUAUAGUAUCUGUUCUAUGAAUACUGAAAUAAUCGAUUAACAUAAAUAAUUAAUCACCUUUCAGCCUUAAAUUAGUUUUAGAAUAAUGCCCAGUUGCUUCUUUGGGGCAGAUAUUUGCAAGCAGUUUGGAACAAUUAUGGGGGCAGUGAAUCAAAAAGAAAUUCUAAAAUUAAAAAAAAAUUUCUACUUUGAUACGGUCACUAAUUUCCAAAACAUCAUUUCCAGAAAGUCAAUAUUUUCCUUUGGUUUUAUUAGAGCUCUGAAAAUCCCUCAUUUUGCAUUUUGUAAAAUUACAGUAAACAUUACCAGUAGUGUGUAAAUCUUCUUGUAAGUAAAAUCUCAUUUCCAGAGAAGUUUUGUUACUGGGUUUUGGACAGAUCACUGGCCGAAAUUUAUCUGUGGAUUAUAGUAGUAACUGGUGUUAUAGGAAUCUUAAUACUGGAUCACACCUGCAUGCCUAAUCCCAGUGUGCUUUUCAUAAGAAACCUCAUUUUUCUUUUUUCAUGUUAGUUUGUAUGAAAUCUUCUGGUUUAUAUUUUUAAAGGGUGAUAUUUCCCAUUAUAUAUGCAUAAAACGUACUUGCAGAGACCUGUUUUCUUAUGCUUGGACUUAUCCCACCCAUUAUACUUAAAAUUUAAUCUCAUCCAUGACUUGUGAUGUGGUCUGUUGCCAGCAGUAUAAGAAUUUCUUACCUCAAGCCAAUUUAUUUAGUAUUUAAAACAUUUGUACUUUCCUUCCAAGGGCAUGUCAGAAUGGGUAUUUCUGUUUCAGAAACUUAAUUAACUUAGUUAAUACCCCUCAGAAAAAUGAAUGGGUAGAUAUGGAAAGAGGUAGAGAAUGCUGAUGGUUGCCUGUGAAGUAGUAUGUGUUUUCCUCUUUUCAUUUACAAGGAAUACCAAUUUUGUUUCUUUCAUCACCCUUUUGUCAUGUAGUCAAGUACCUCAGGGGAAACUGACCUUUGUGAUUCCACUACCCCACUGAAUCAAGUAUUGGUACACAAGUGGGCACGCAACCCAAUUUUAACCAAAAGUAUUUGAAGAAGAGGGGAGUUACUGGACAAAUCAGAAAGAAGUUUUUUCUCUGUUAUGAAAGAGUACUGGAAAGUACUUUAUUUUCUUUUCUUGGCUGUGGUCAUUUUUGGUGUAGAACUUGUAUAUUCUGAAGCUAUCCUGUUCCAUCCCAAGGACCAUAUUAUAUGUGGAGUAGAGCAGAGCUGAGAGAACUGUAGGGGAGCCCAGCCAGAACCAUUGGAUUAAUACCUCCCUGAAGCCCACCUUAUCUCUGAAUUAGCAGCUAUGCAAGCCAACAUUGUCCUUAAUAUUUAAGCCAUUUUGAGUUUUCUAUUACAUGUGACUGAGAGCAUGCUAAAAGAUACAGAAAUAUUCUGAAUUUAUGCACACAAGUAUGUUAAUGAAGUCAUUGCCAUCUAAAAUACGUAUUAAGAGUUUGGGGCGUCUUUGAAUGAAUCACUUAGAAUUAGGAUCAAGUUUCUGACAUUUACAUUUGUUGUUACUGUAUUUUAAUCCUAAAUAGGGGGGAUGAUAAAAUCAAAAGGAGACAAGGAAAAAACAAAGUAUUUAUUGUUAACUAUGACUAUUUCAUCAAAUAUGAUCAUAAUUUAGUUUUUGGCAUACAUUCAAGGGAAUGGAUCUAACCAUAAAUAAAAAGGAAUCCUCUAACCUCUAUGAAUCAAUGUAAGACUAUAUAAUUUUUAAAAAUCUUAUAAAUUCAUGUUGAUUAAAGUUUGAAAGCUAAAAUGCCCUAGAACAUUGAUUUCCAUUCCUUUUGAAUAAUGUCAAAUAUUUUCACAAAGCAAUGCCUUACUACCUCAUCUAAAAUUAUAAUGCUAUUUUAGCUAUUUGUUGAGCAAGAAAAUUCAUAAUGGAAUUCAGUACAGCUUUUUAGUAAAUAUUUAAAUUUAUUUCUUAUUACAGCAAAAACCUAGAGAUUAAAAAAUGGAGUCACAUGGCUAAGCAAGAUGUAUUAUUUAUUCAGUCCAAAGAAAUGCUAUGUUACAUCUGGAUUCAAGGGACUUUGCAGUAAUUCCAAGAGGUAGAAUGUAAGUCCCUGGGGGAAAGAGUCUCCAUGUGUGUUCAGUGUUUUGUGUGUGAUGAAACCUAUAUGUGUUUUCAUUUUCUUUCCUCUAAGAAACUUUUAUAUACAUAUUAACAGUUGCAGAGCGUUAAUGGGAGAAGAGAAAUGAGCAUAAAGUAAAAUGCUAGUAGCAAUGAUUAAUGCAACACUUAUUGUGGCCAAGAAUUUUACAUUUGUUAUCUCAUUUAAGUUUCAUGAAAAUCUCCAUUUACAGAGAAGAAAACUGAGACUGAAACUACCUUGCUCAAGCUCAUCGAGCUAGUAAGUGGAGGAAUUAGGGAUGUGAAACAAGGUCUGGAUGCCUCUGGGGCCCAUGCCCUAAACUAUGAUGUCAUAUCACCUUAGAAUACUAAAUCAGGCUGGGAGUGCUCAGAAGAAUUCAGAGCUUCUGAAUUUCAGACUGGUCCACACUUGACUCAUCUGGCUAUUUAAAGUGAAUGUAGCUUCAGAAUUAGGGAACUUGAUAUCGUGAACCCCCUGCAAAUCCGCAGCAGAGCAGAGAUGCCUAGAUUCUUAAUCCAACUCUGUCAUUUACUGACAAUGUAAAUGACAGGGUUUGGCUGUGUCCCCACCCAAAUCUCAUCUUGAAUUCCCAUAUGUUGUGAAAGGAACCUGGUUGGAGGUAAUUGAGUCAUGGGGGCAGGUCUUUCCCAUGCUAUUCUUGUGAUAGUGAGUAAGGCUCACGAGAUCUGAUGGUUACUGUAAGGGGGAGUUUUCCUGCACAAGCUCUCUUCUCUUGUCUGCCACCAUAUGAGAUGUGCCUUUAACCUUCUUCCAUGAUUGUGAGGCCUCCCCAGCCACGAGGAACUGUAAGUCCAAUAAACUCCUUUCUUUUGUAAAUUGCCCAGUCUUGGGUAUGUCUUUAUGAGCAGUGUGAAAAUGGACUAAUACAGUAACCUUGUAUAUCUUAUUAACCUUCUCCAAGCCCCUAUUUCUAUUUCAUUAGCAUUGGAAGAAUAAAAUCUUCACUGUUUAUGUAAUUGGUUUUGAGAAGUAAGCCAAACUGCAUAUACUAUAAAGUACAAAACAAUAGUAUAUAUUGUGAUUAUUUUGUGAUUUUCUCAAGUAUUCUGCUUUUCCAUGGAAAUAAUAAAUUGUAAUAAUGAUGGACAUCUAUUAUUGUUGCUGUUAUUAUUGCUAAUCCUACAUAAAGUAACAGGAUUGACUAUAUAUUAAUUACGGAGGGAAUAAGAAAAAGGAAAAAAUGUUCCAGGGUUCAUGGUCAUUUUGGGAAACUUGAUAAUUUAGUACUGGAAUAAGACUUUAGGACUGAUCUUGGCAGGAUAGCCAAAGGGCUCUGCCACCAUGAAACUUAGAAAACUCCAUUUUGGCCGG